rnacentral:rRNA from 1 species
AUUGAACGCUGGCGGCAGGCCUAACACAUGCAAGUCGAGCGGAUGAAGGGAGCUUGCUCCUGGAUUCAGCGGCGGACGGGUGAGUAAUGCCUAGGAAUCUGCCUGGUAGUGGGGGAUAACGUCCGGAAACGGGCGCUAAUACCGCAUACGUCCUGAGGGAGAAAGUGGGGGAUCUUCGGACCUCACGCUAUCAGAUGGGCCUAGGUCGGAUUAGCUAGUUGGUGGGGUAAAGGCCUACCAAGGCGACGAUCCGUAACUGGUCUGAGAGGAUGAUCAGUCACCCUGGAACUGAGACACGGUCCAGACUCCUACGGGAGGCAGCAGUGGGGAAUAUUGGACAAUGGGCGAAAGCCUGAUCCAGCCAUGCCGCGUGUGUGAAGAAGGUCUUCGGAUUGUAAAGCACUUUAAGUUGGGAGGAAGGGCAGUAAGUUAAUACCUUGCUGUUUUGACGUUACCAACAGAAUAAGCACCGGCUAACUUCGUG